rnacentral:rRNA from 1 species
UUUAGAAGAUGCCGGUGUAGAUCGCGAUGCGCCAAUGGCUAGUGGUGGCCAUGCAUGUGGAAGCCACUGAUAUGGCAAAAACCCAUUUUGGUUUUCAGACCGUAGACGAAGCUGAAAAGGCGAGCAAAGUCGCAGAGGUCUUUCAUUCAGUCGCUAGUAAAUAUGACUUGAUGAAUGACCUGAUGUCUGGAGGCCUUCAUCGCAUUUGGAAACACUUCACCAUUUCAAAAGCAGCAGUUAGACCUGGUCAAAAAGUGCUGGAUAUCGCCGGUGGUACCGGUGACCUCACGAUGAGUUUUGCACGCCAGGUAGGGCCUGAAGAAAAAACUGGGGGUCAGGUUUGGUUGACAGAUAUCAAUGCAUCCAUGCUUUCUCAUGGGCGAGAUCGUCUGUUGGAUAAGGGUUUCAAGGUGCCAUGCGUGCAGGUUGAUGCUGAGCAAAUUCCUUUCCCCGGCUCUUAUUUUGAUUUAGUCACUGUGGCAUUUGGUCUGCGCAAUAUGACGCAUAAAGAUGUUGCUUUGACUGAAAUGUUGCGCGUGAUCAAGCCGGGUGGCAAGGUCAUGGUUCUAGAGUUUUCUAAACCGCAUGCAUCCAUCAAGUCGCUUUACGAUACUUAUUCAUUUAAGGUGCUGCCGUGGUUAGGUGAAAAAGUGGCUGGCGAUGCAGAGAGUUAUCGUUACCUCGCGGAGUCGAUUCGCAUGCACCCUGACCAAGAAACCUUAAAGGACAUGAUGUUGGGCGUUGGAUUUGAUAAGGUUGAAUACCACUCUUUAACUGGGGGUAUUGUGGCCUUGCAUAUAGGGUAUAAAUACUAAGUGUUGUAACACUGAAGAGGGAAAUAUGUUGAAAAAAAGUAUGGUUUAUUUGACCUUAGCGAUGUUCUUAACUGCAGGCUCUAUGUCUAAUGUGGAUGCUAAGCGUUUGGGUGGAUCAAAAAAUGUGGGUAAGCAAGCGCCGACAGCUACACAAAAACAAGCAGCUCCGACGCUGCGGAUGUAUACUUUGUAUACGUGGUAGGGGAGCGUUCUGUAAGCCGAUGAAGGUGUAUUGAGAAGUAUGCUGGAGGUAUCAGAAGUGCGAAUGCUGACGUGAGUAACGACAAAACGGGUGAAAAACCCGUUCGCUGAAAGACCAAGGGUUCCAGUCCAACGUUAAUCGGGGCUGGGUGAGUCGACCCCUAAGGCGAGGCCGAGAGGCGUAGUCGAUGGGAAAUUGGUUAAUAUUCCAAUACUUCAGUGUAAUGCGAUGAGAGGACGGAGAAGGUUAAGUCAGCCUGGCGUUGGUAGUCCAGGUGAAAGGAAGUAGGCAUGCAUCUUAGGCAAAUCCGGGGUGCUCUAUGCUGAGAUCUGAUAUCAAGCUGUACUUGUACAGUGAAGUGGCUGAUACCCUGCUUCCAGGAAAAGUCUCUAAGCUUCAGUUACACUGGAAUCGUACCCGAAACCGACACAGGUGGUCAGGUCGAGUAGACCAAAGCGCUUGAGAGAACUCUGCUGAAGGAACUAGGCAAAAUGGUACCGUAACUUCGGGAGAAGGUACGCUGUUGAUGGUGAUAGGACUUGCUCCUUGAGCUGUCGACAGCCUCAGAAACCAGGCCGCUGCAACUGUUUAUUAAAAACAUAGCACUCUGCAAACACGAAAGUGGACGUAUAGGGUGUGAUGCCUGCCCGGUGCUGGAAGGUUAAUUGAUGGGGUUAGCGUAAGCGAAGCUCUUGAUCGAAGCCCCAGUAAACGGCGGCCGUAACUAUAACGGUCCUAAGGUAGCGAAAUUCCUUGUCGGGUAAGUUCCGACCUGCACGAAUGGCAUAAUGAUGGCGGCGCUGUCUCCAGCAGAGGCUCAGUGAAAUCGAAUUCGCCGUGAAGAUGCGGUGUACCCGCGGCUAGACGGAAAGACCCCGUGAACCUUUACUGCAGCUUGACAUUGAACUUUGACCUUACUUGUGUAGGAUAGGUGGGAGGCUUUGAAACUUGGACGCUAGUCCGAGUGGAGCCGUCCUUGAAAUACCACCCUGGUAAUGUUGAGGUUCUAACUCUGUCCCGUUAUCCGGGACGAGGACCAUGUCUGGUGGGUAGUUUGACUGGGGCGGUCUCCUCCUCCGAAUAACAACAUAUCGUGACUGGGAAAC